UACGUAGGGUGCAAGCGUUGUCCGGAAUUAUUGGGCGUAAAGAGCUCGUAGGCGGUCUGUUGCGUCGGCUGUGAAAACCCGAGGCUCAACCUCGGGCCUGCAGCCGAUACGGGCAGACUAGAGUUCGGCAGGGGGAGACUGGAAUUCCUGGUGUAGCGGUGAAAUGCGCAGAUAUCAGGAGGAACACCGGUGGCGAAGGCGGGUCUCUGGGCC
rnacentral:rRNA from 1 species